CAAUCCUCCUGCCUUGGCCUCCAGAGUCAUUGGAAUUACAGGCAUGACCAAUGCAUGAAAGAGACCUGAGCUGGCUGCCAUGGUAGCAGUGCAGACACCCUGGCUGAGGCCCCAGGCAGAAGUCAGACGAGGCAGAGAAAAAAGAGGCAGAAGUAAAUCUGCCAGAAAUCAGUGAGCAAGUGUUCUGAAGAGAAGCAGAGCAAAGAUCAAAGUGAAAGGUGGCAACGGAAGAAUGACCAGAAAAACAUGAGAAAGGUUAAAAGGACCUGGCCUGCCACCAGUGUCAAAGAAACCCAGCUCUGGGGAAAAGAUGGCCACACACUGGACAAAGGUACUCGCUGGCCACCUGGUCAGUUAGCAAAGGACAGCAUUCUGUCAGCACCAAAAUAAAACAAGGCUGACAACA